UGGGAUUAGAUACCCCACUAUGCCUGGCCCUAAAUCUUGAUGCUUACACCUACUAAAGCAUCCGCCCGAGAACUACGAGCACUAACGCUUAAAACUCUAAGGACUUGGCGGUGCCCCAAACCCACCUAGAGGAGCCUGUUCUGUAAUCGAUGAUCCACGAUAUACCUGACCAUUCCUUGCCAGAACAGCCUACAUACCGCCGUCUCCAGCUCACCUACCCUGAAGGCCCAACAGUGAGCGCAAUAGCCCCACCACGCUAAUACGACAGGUCAAGGUAUAGCCUAUGGAAUGGAAGCAAUGGGCUACAUUUUCUAAGUUAGAACAUAACGGCAAAGGGGUAUGAAAUAACCCCUAGAAGGCGGAUUUAGCAGUAAAGUGGGACAAUCGAGCCCUCUUUAAGCCGGCCCUGGGACACGUACAUACCGCCCGUCACCCUCCUCA
rnacentral:rRNA from 1 species